CUCUAUUUCAUUUAUCUCUUUCACUUUGGGUGGGAUUGUAAUGUACUGAAAGCCUAGACUAUUCCCCGCCCCCAAAAAUGCCACAAAAAUUUUUCACUCAAAAUCCUCGUUCUGUGCUAUAAAUUCACCUAAAACUCUUUGACUUCGAAGUUCUCCUAUGCGUAUUGCUCGCUGUUGGACAGCUCGUAAAUUUUUGGGCCGGCAAGGAGGUAUAAUCUUGAAGAAGCCCAGAUGCUCGUGCAAAAACUACACCAGUACCAGUUAAAAGGCUCGAAUUCCGUAUUUUUUUAGAGUUUGAUUUUCGCUGGUUAUCUGCGCUUCUGAGAUUUAUGAUACUUGAAGUAUGAACUUGAAUAAGGGUUGAAUUUAUUGAUAUGAGCUGAAACGUAAUUUAUUUUAUAUUUUUGUUUUAAAUUUUUAGAAUUUGAAUUUCCUCUUGAACUUGUGUGGGCAGGUAUGACCAUUUUACAGCUUUUUAAUGCCAGUUCUGCUUCAGAAAAUUCUUGAUUCAUAAAGCUGUUUAUUUUUGAGCCAUCCAUUUGUUUUCCACCACCCAUUUCCUUAACGCCCCUGUUGUUUCCUUUCUCACACAAAAUCGCCUUCUCGACCUUUGGUGAAAAUCUAAAACAAAUUGAGGACAUCUCUACAGGAAAUUGAAGAGUCUCGACUCCAAGUUGACCAUGGUUUCAACAAGGUAUUUACUUCGACCUUCUGGAUAUUUUUUCUUUGUUUUUCACUCUUAACUUUCCUGACAUGUCCUUUUUUUUUUUUUUUUAUCCUAUCUCCCUAACGAUCAACUUAUUUCCUUGAAACUUGAUUUUUCUUUCUACAGCAAGCAACAUGGUUACUCUUUAGAGACAUGAUAAAAGGGAUUAUCUUAGCUAUAGUGAUCGGUCCACCUAUUGUAGCUGCCGUAAUUGUGAUAGUACAGACUGGGAAUAAUGACUUCAGCAAUUAUUGAUGGAAAGAAAGGGAUUAAUCGUUUCAGUGAAUGGUAAUGUCUUCUGGUUGCUAAAAAAGGGUCCCUACUUGGUCAUAUAUUUGUGGCUUUCAUCCUUGUUCUGUCUCUUGUCAUCAUGACAGUUUACUCAAUUUUUAUUCCUCACACUUUUCAACAAAUUCACGCCGGUAGGUUGGGCUCUAGUUAUUUUUGGCAUGGAAAAAAAUUAGUAUUCUAUCUUAAAUGGCCAAUCUUUGGAAAAGUUGUGUAUUGUUUGUGGCAUCACCUGUGAUACUUUUUUGGAUUGCUCUUUUUGUUAUUCAUUAGUUAUUUUGGCCAACAAAUAGCUUCCCGUUGGAGAGCUUAGGGUGAAAAUUGAGAAUCUUGAUUCGUCACUCAAAUUUCCCUUGAAGAAACUAUUCGUUGUUGAUGGAUCCACAAAGGUCAAGCAUUAGCUAUGUAUGGAUUUAUUUAUUUUUCUAUAUUGUAGUUGUUUCCCAACUUUCUUUUAAUGGGUGCAAAUUUUUUUAAAUUUUUUUUUUUUUUAAUAGACAUGUAAAGUAGAUCACUUUUUCUUAUUUAUAUAUUGGAUUGGCUUAUUUAUAUAUUGGAUUGGCUGCAUUGUAACAAAUAUGGUCUUUUUGAUGAUGAGAAGCCACUCUUAGCCAAAUCAAGUAAAAAAGUGUCGGAUAAUACCUGCUUUGAUUCCUAACUUUUAAAUAUAGUAGAAUUGGUGGCUUUUCCCCCUUUCUUUUAUCAUCCUCUUUUUGACCUUUUCAACAAUAAUUUUUUGCUUAAUUCUGCACUUCGAAUCCUUAUUCCAAAUAAAUGUAGGAGUUGCCAUAUUUGUAGCCUUCAUCUGGUUUGUCGUGUUCUGAGGACCAAAACUUAGAUUUAUGAUCCAAGUAUAGGAUCAUUUUGAGCCCAAAGGCUUUGAAAGUCCCAUGUUAAAAGAGCAUAUCCUGAUGAAUUCUGUUGAGUAUAUGGGGCUGCACUAUUGGGAUCAAGAGAGGAAGGGAAGUAGGGUUCGGGUUUCAAAGAGUAAUGGAAUUAUUCAUGACGAGAUGAAUUCGCGGGAACAGUGUAGUGGACAGAAUCUUGUAGUGAGGGAAUGAUUAAUUAGGUUUCUUAUGGUAACUUAUUUUUGGAGUUAGCUGCUUUAAUGUGUUAUUAGUUGUUAUCACUGCUAAAUGUAGAUAUAAACUCCAGCUUUAAAGGUAUUGAGCACUAAAUUAGUAAAUCCGUUCUUUGAGUUUGGAAUAUUUUGUAUCUUUUGUCAUCACUGUUUACUUCUUAAAACACCUCAUGAACUUGGUUUGUGUUCACGAGUUCUUGACCAAACAAUAAAAAUGUUGUUCAAGGCAA